AUGUUAUUGCUGUUGCUGCAUAAGUUUAUGGUUUGUGUGCUUCUCGCUAUGUUUUUGGUUGUUUCGCAGUUCUGUUGCUAAAGUUUGAAUGCGAACCCUCUGCGAGACCACCGUGAGACCAUGCAAAAGUUGUUUGCUACCACACCAUCACUAUUUUCAAUCAAUGGUUCCAGUUGUAGUGGGAGAUGUGAUUCCAGAUGGAGCUUAAUUUUGUUGCCCUUAUUUGUUGUUAUUUGUGUGUGCGCUAUAGGUCCGGGGUUUUUAAUGAUUGAGUCCAUUCGUUUUUUUAAGUAUCCUAAUAUAUAUUUAUGUUUUUCCAGGUAACCGAAUAAGAAAAGUCAAGAGAUGGUAGCACUAAUCAAGGAUUAUGAAGCAACAUCAUGUACCAGGGAAUGUUUAGAUAUUUUAAGAACUUAUUUUGCCAUAAUUCUUGAUCGAAGCACAUCAAAGAGUAUUUGGGAAUCUAUGAGACAGAAAUAUCAAGGUUCAAUAAGGGUGAAA
rnacentral:lncRNA from 1 species